ACGCUCUGAGCGCAAGUUCCACCCAUCUCUCCGUGGCCCGAAGCGGCACGGUGGAAAUCGCCGCCGGCCCUCGCUCUGGAAACAGCCCCUCCUCGGUUGGGCCCCUUCCGGCCCCGCCCCUUAUCCCACACGCUUCCUAGAGGCUGCACUUUCAGAACCCCGAGCUUCUCCGACACCACCGCUUGACAGCGCGAGAGGUCGCUAACUCGCCUCUCUUCGCAAAGUGUUGUGAAUUUCAAUUCUAAAGGCGCCGAAAAACUAUAUUCAGUGUGCUUGAUCACUGUACAGUGUUUCCACAAAGUUGGACCUCUGGACGCUCCCCCAGCACUGCGGGAGGACCCUCCUUGCUUCUGGCCUCUGCGAUAUUAAAGGCCAUCUCACUUCCUGGUUGCCUGGAGGCCCAGAGGGUGGUGAGCCCCGGAUUGAAGGCGCCACUGGGCGGCGCGGGGCGCCGCUGGGGCUCUCCUGCCUGGCCAGCAUCACUUCCUGUUGAGGGAGAGGAGCAGAUCUAAGAAAGUCAGACUUGCUGUCUGCCUGACGCCCUUGCCUGGACUAAAGCCCACGGACACAGGCGUUACACUCUCCAAGGCUUGCGUUUAUACUAGACGAGGCCAUGGAAACACUAAGGGAUAUCGUGGCUCGCCUUCUCCUUGAGAUCCUCAGUGAAUUUCUUGCGGAGAAGAUAAAGAUCAAUAUAAGAGAGCAAGUAAGGGCAGAGUCAGAUGACCAGCGGAUGGAUUUCUUGGACCGCAUAGUUGCCCCUCUAAUGAAGAAGGUUCUUCAACUGGUACUGGAGAAGACGGCUCCAGUUGUAUUCAACAGGUUUAUUGUGAAACCAUGGAAAUACGUCAUCACCUACGUUGUGAAAAAGAGGAUGCAUCCUGAACCAAUACAUGUGACGAUAGUUUAAUUACCAGUAUCCACGGCGCAGUCGAAGCUUGGACUACUACAAGCAAUCCACGUGGCUUCAACGCUAAGUAAAAGCACCGCAAGAUGGCCUUUUUCUGGCGGAAGGGGAGAUUUCGGUGUUCGCUGCCUACCUGGCUGGCCAGUGGUGAGGAUAUUUCUGUCCUCAGCUCUUGGCUCUGCUCGGCUCUGCUCGUCUCUGCUCUGCUCUACUCUACUCUACACUACACUACCCUACAGUACUCUAUUGUCCUCGCCUCUACAGUAGUCUAGUCUGUUGACAAAACCGUGAACAGAAUGGAGAAGAGAGAUGCUAAGGGGGAUCGUGAGUGCAUUUUUCGAGGAUCACAUGGGUGUCGCUCUAACGAAAAAGUUAAUGACAAGGUCCACAGAACCAGUUGAUGUCGUUCUGAGACCAGAUGUCUAUGUCGCUAAUGGAGAUGAUUCUUGUAUUAGUUCUGGGCAACCAGUUCCUCCUGGAACGUUUCAAAACAUCAUCACGUUUUUUUUUUUUUUUUGUGAAAAAGAUGAUGCGUAGAAGCCAACCAUUGGGAUUGUGUAUCGCACAGACAUUUAACCGCCAGAUCGUCGAGAGAUCGUUCUAAAGUAACAUCGUAUAUUCUGGGAGACUGCUCCCAUCCUAUAUUAGCAGCUCGUCAUGUCACCUUCAACAAACAGCAUCACACAUCUCGUUAAGAAGAUGAUGUGCUCAGCCAGCUUGUGGGGUUGCAGUUUAAUUACGAGUUAUCGUUUGCGGACAAUCUAAACGGGCAGAUCAACGAGAAAACUUUAAAAAACAGCAUCGAAUAUCUUUUUUAAGAGAUGAUGCUUCGGAGACUAACAGCAAUGAUUGACGCAGAAAUAUGAAGUAUAAACCGGCACGAUACGAUAGCCAUAUAUUGGUGGACGAGAUGCCCUGUCUUUGCUUCCUCAGCAGUUACUCCCCGCUCCUAUCAGCAACAGCUGGAGGGACAUUUCUGUUCUCAACCCUUUGCUAUGCUCAUUUUGCCAAAUCUAAAUGCCUGACGAAGAAUAGAGUUUUGAAAUGCAGCAAAUAAAUACACGGAUUUAUCUUUAGUACAUGACAUGGAGUCUCCUGGCCUGAUUUUGUGCUGAUUUCCUUCUCCACUUUGGCUCUGGGUCUCUCUUCUGAACCAUUAGGGAUGGAGGGGGCUGAGAUUGUGGGGGUACACCGUUGAGGGAGAAAGUGUGUGUGGAGUGGGCUGACCAUGAAUGGGGGAGUUUCAGACUGGAAUUAAGAGUCCUGGGGGGAGCACUGAGAACCUGUUGUGUCAGGAAGGGAUGCCGAAGGUUGGGGGGCGGUUCUUAAGAAAGCUCGACGGUUACAGGGUGCAUUUCCUGCUUUGAAGGGAGUUUAGAAAAGGAGGACUAGAGGAACGAUGGCAUCCCUGAUGUCUUCCGUGGGAAAACAGGCACAGGAGAGGCAACAUUGCAGAGGUAAACAUUGCGGGCAGAUGAUGCUGCAGGUGAUAAAAAUUCUGUAGCAAGAGGAACCACUGGAUGGGUUAAGAGAGACCUGACCGGGGGUAGGUGAAAGUGGUCGAGAUCAAUCCAAGUGGAAGGCACACAGCUCCUCUUCCAGGGACCUCUGUGUACAUGGACAGCCUGCAGUGCUCUGGCUCUUUUCUCUCCUGACUCAAAGGAACCAUCCCAUUACCAACAUCUAUGACAGAAACCACUGUACCCUGUCAGUGGAGAACAAAUGGAGAGAGAAGCACACUUGAUGGGCCCUUUUUUCUCAGUGGUGUUCAGCUGCACAGAGAGACUACCAGUCUACCGCUAGUUGCCACAGAACCGACUCUGACUCCUGGAGACCCCAUGUUUUAGGAGUAGAUCCCCAAGCAUUUUGUUGCGCGUGCCUCUGGCUGGACAUGAACUUCCAGCCUUGCAGUUUACAGCUCAGCCUUCGGCCAUUUGCACCAGCAGACACUCAGCAGAGACAGGCAGUUCCUCUCACAAUACUGUCUUUUCCUGUCAUGUGGCUGGAAGAACAGGGCACUGACAAGUUCCUUGGAGGUUAAAAAUCUUCAAAACUGGACUCGUCUGUGCACCGUGGCUUCAAUAUACAAAUGGAAACCUGUAGUUUUUUAAACAUAAAAUAGACCUCUGGUGGGGCAAAUAUCUAGUGAGUACUGGAAGUAGCACAUUAAAUUCUCAAAAAGAAAACUGCCUAUAUCUUAGAUCAUUUCCAACUCAUAGCAACCCUAUAGGAUAGGGAAGAACUCCCCCAUAGGAUUCUCAAGUCUGUAAACUUUAAUCCCACCCCCAGGAAAGAUGCACCGGGAGCAAAGCACAGCCUUUUCACUCAAGGUCCCUGGGCUGUGAAGCCCUUCGACCAGGAGAAGACUGAUAACCAGGGCCUGCCCCCAGAGAAGAUACAGACAGAUAGCCUUCUCCUAGACUAGGUGCCCUGAAUCCAGACUCCUAGCCUACUAGCCCCCACGCAUCUGAAGGUUUUUGCCACUGGGGUGACUUGGAUUUUGCUGUGAUGCUGGAAGGUAUACCACUGGUAUUUCAAAUACCAGAAGAAUCAUCCAUGGUGGACAGGAUUCAGCAGGGCUUCCAGACUAAGAUAGACUAAAGAGAAAGACCUGGCAGUCUACUUCUGAGAAGACUGGCCAGUAAAAACCUUAUGAAUAACAGAGGAAUAUUGUCUGAUAUGUUGCAGGAAAAGGAACCCAACAGCUUGGAAGACACUGAAAAUAUGACUGGGAAAGAGCUGCCUACUCGAAGGACCAAACAAAAAAUCCCCGUUGCUGUUGAGUCUGACUCAUAGCAACCCUACAAGACAGAGUAGAAUGGCCCCAGAGGGUUCCAAGGAGCACCUGGUGGAUUCAAACUGAGGACCUUUUGGUUAGCAGCCAUAGCACUUAACCACUAUGCCAUCGGGGUUUCCACUCAAAAGACAGUCAACCUUAAUAAUGUAGAUGGAGUCAAGCUUUUAAGAGCUUCAUUUGCUCUUGUGGCACAACUCAAAAAGAAAAUAACACCUGUGAACCGCCAUUAAUAAUCAGAACUUGGAAUGUAUUGAGUAUGAAUCUAGGAGAAUUGGAACUGGGCAGAAAUGAAAAGGAUCACAUAAAGGUGGAUGGCCUACACAUCAAUGAGAUCCAAUGGACCAGUAUUGGCCUUUUUGAGUCAGACGAUCACGUGUUCUACUAUGCCAGGAGUGACAACUUGAAGAUGAAUGGCGUUGCUUUCAUUGCCAAAAGGGGCAAUUCAAGAUCUAUCUUAAAGUGCAUAGCUGUUAGGGAGAGGAAGAUAUCCACACACCUACAAGGAAGACCAGUUAAAAGGACUGUGAUUCAAAUUUACACACCAAGCACCAAUGCCAAAGCUGAAGAAAUUGAAGAUUUUUACCAACUUGUGCAGUCUGAAAUUGAUCAACAUGCAAUUAAGUUGCAUCGAUAAUGACUGGUGACUAGGAUACAAACCUGGAAACAAAGAAGAAGAAUAUGUAGUUGGAAGAUAUGAUCUUGUUACAGAAAGGACAUUGGUGAUCUCCUGAUAAAUUUUGCAAGACCAACAAUUUCUUCUCUGCAAAUACCCUUUUUCGACAACAUAAACGGUGACUAUACACAUGGGCCUCACCAAAGGGAAACCACAGGAAUCUAAUCGACUACACUUGUGGAAAGAGAUGCUGGAAAAGCUCAAUAUCAUCAGUCAGAACAAGGCCAGAGACCAAAUGCAGAACCAACCAUGAAUUGCUCAUGUGCAAGUUGAAGAAAAUUAGAACAAGUCUACGGGAACCAAAAAUAAGACCUUGGGUACAUUCCACCUGAAUUUUGAGACCAUCUCAAGAAUAGAUUGAACACAGUGAACACUUAUGACAGAAGUCCAGACAAGCUGUGAGAUGACCUCAAGCACAUGAUACGUGAAGAAAGCAAAAGGUCAUUAAGAAGAUAACAAAGACCAAAAUGGAUGUCAGAAGAGAUUCUGAAACUUGCUCUUGAGCAGAAGAUUUCAAAGGUGGCAGGAGAAGUCAAAGUAUCCUAAUGAAAUGUGCAAAUACCUGGAGUUAGAAAACCAAGAGGGAGGAAAAGGCAGAAGGCCGCUGUGGCUCUCCUCCCUGGCCAGGCUCACUUCCUGUGGAGGGGGAGCAGCAAAUCUAAGAAAGGCUGACUCUCGCUGGCUUCAUAUCCUGGACUGAAGCCCACUGACACAGGCUUUAUGGUCUCCAAGGAUUUUAUUUAUAAUAGAUGGGACAAUGGAAAAAGUAAGGGAUAUUGUGACUGCAGUUCUCCUUGAUAUCACGAGUGAAUUUCUUGCGGAUAAGAUAAUGAUCAUUUUCCAAGAGCAGUUAAUGACAGAGAUAACCAGUGGAUGGGGUUCUUGUAACAUAUACCUGCACCUCUAAUGAGAAGUUUCUUACAUUUGUACUGGAGAAGAUUGCUCCCAUUCUACACAACAAGUUUAUUGUGACACCAUUCAAAUACGUCAUCACCUAUGUUGUGAAAAAGAGGAUGUGUCGUCAGCCAAUAGAUGUGACUAUGGUUCAAUUACUAAUAUCCACGGUGCAGGUAUCUACACAGGUAAAUUGUUGCAAUAUCAUUACAAAAGAGUUUCUUUUUUUUUUUUAAAAGAUGAUGGUUGGAAUCCUACUAGCCAUCAAGUGUGCUUAAAUGCUAAGUAUAAGCUCUGCGAGAUCGCUCUCUUCUGGUGGGAGAGGAGAUUUUGGUGUUGCUGACCACUGGUGAGGAUAUUUCUGUCCUCAAUUCUUUAGGCUAUUCUACUCUACUCUACUGUACUCUACACUGCUCUACUCAGCUGACAAUAAUGUGAAUAGGAUGGAGAAAGGGGAUGCUAAGGGAUAUCAUGAGUGCAUUUUUCGAGGAUCAGAUGAGGAUCGUUUUAACUGAAAAAUUAAUGACAAGGUCCAAAGAACCAGUCCAUGCUGUUCUUAGACCAGAUGUCUAUAUCACUAAUGGAGAUGAUUCUUAUAUUUGUUCUGGGCAAGGUGGCCGUGAAUCUAUACAACCAGUUCCUCCUGAAACAUUUCAAAAACAUCAUCACGUUUUUUGUGAAAAAGGUAAUGCAUAGAAAACAACAGCUGGUAUUGUGGAUGGUGCAGGUAUCUAACUGCGGGAUUGUCCUAAUAUCAUUCUAAAAUGGCACCACAUAUUUUACAAGACUGCUCCCAUCCUAUAUUAGCAACUUGUCUUGACACCUUCAGGAAAUAACAUCACACAUCUCGUUAAGAAGAUGAUGUGCUCCACCAGCUUUUGGGAUUGCAGUUUAAUUAUGAAUCAUCGCCUGCGGACAUAUCUAAACAGGCAGAUCAAUGGGAAACCUUUACAAAAUAGCAUUGCAUAUCUUUUUUAAAAGAUGCUGCUUUGGAGACUAACAGCAAUGAUUGAUGCAGAAAUAUGACGUUUAAACGAGCAUGAUACAAUACCCAUAUUUUUGUGGAUGAGAGAUUCCUGUCUUUGCUUCCUCACUAAUUACUCCCGUUCCUAUCAACAACAACUGGGGGGACAUUUCUGUUCUCAACUCUUCGCUCUGUUCAUUUUGCCAAAUCUGAAUGCAUGACACAGAAUACAGAUUUGAAACGGAGCAGGUACACAUAUUUCUCUUUAGUACACGACGUGGAGUCUCCUAGCCUGGUUCUGUGCUGACUUCCUUCUCAGGUUUGGCUCAGGGUCUCUGUUCUGGACCCUGAGGAGUGGAGAGGGCUAAGAUGGUGGAGGACCUCUAUUGAAGGAAGAAAUGUGUGCUGAGUGGCCUGAGUAUGAAUGGGGGAGCUUCAAACUCUGGAAUUAAGAGCCUGUGGGGAGCUUUGAGAACUUCUGUCUCAGUAGGGGAAGCUGUAUGAGGGGGCAUAAUACAAACUGUGGGCAGUUUGAAGGCAAUUUUCCUGCUUUGAGGGGAGGUUGGAAAAAGAGGACCAGAGGAGAGAUGGCAGCCCUGAGGUCUAAUGUGGGGAAAUGGGCACAGGAGAGGGCCUACUGGGGGAGGAAACAUCCCAGAGGAAAAUGUGAUAGGCAGAGAAUUGUGCAGGUGAUAAAGUCUGUGGGUGAGAGGAACCCCUGAAUGAGUAAAGAGAGAUCUGGGUGGGUGGAGGAAGUGAUCGAUACCCCUCCCUUAUACAUCUCUGGACAUUGACAGCCUGCAGCGCUCUGGCUCUUUUCCCUCCUGACUCAAAACCACACUCGAUGGGCCGUUCUGUUCCAGGGUGUUCAGCUGCACAGACAGACUACCAGGCCCUAUUUUUCGUAAGCAGAUUCCCAGGUCUUUCUUCCCAGUUGCCUCUGGGUGGGCAUGAACUUCCAACCUUGCAGUUUACAGCCCAGCUUUCAACCAUUUACACCACCCAGUGACUCAGCAGUGACAGGUAGGUCCUCUCACAAUACUGUCUUUUCCUGUCACAUGGCUGGAAGAACAGGGUGCCGACAAGUUCCUUGAUGUUUAGAUGUCUUUAAUGGUGGACUCAUUCUUGCCAGUUGGCUUCAACGUGCAAUUUAAAAAUUCUGGUUGGUUUCACAUAAAACCGAACUUUAUGUGGCGGGGGUCGGGGGGGGGGGACCUACUGAACGGCCAUGUUUGUUUAUAGUUGAAACAGCAUGUUAUACUCCAAAAUCGAACAAACAAACAAAAAACUCUUGCCUUAUAGUCCAUUCCAACACUUAGUGACCCUAUAGGAUAGAGUAGGACUGCCCCAUAGGGUUUCCAAGGCUGUGAAUCUUUAUGGAAGGAAAUUGCCACAUAUUUCCCCAGAAGAGUGGCUGGUUGGUUUGAACCGCUGAGCUUUUUGUUAACCACUUCUCCGCAAGGGAUCCUCCGCAAAGAUUACAGCCAGGAAAACCCCAUGGAGCAGUUCUGCUGUGUAACACAUGCCGUCGCCAUAGCAUUAUACUAUAUCGAUAGGGUGUCCAGUCGAUUCCGACUCUUAGCGACCCUAGAGGGAAGUCUAAAGUUGCCCCAUAGGGCCUCCAAAGCUGUAAUCUUUAUGGACACCGACUGCCACACCUUUCUUCCCCGGAGGGGCUGGUGAGUUAGAGUGGCGGACCCUUUCAUUAGCAGUCAGACGCUUAACCACUGCACCACCAAAGCUCCUGGCAUUAUACUACAGAGGCCAUUUUGGGGGUCUUGUUUGUCUGUUUGCUCUAAGUAGUAACCAAAGUGUGUGGAAGUGGCCCACACUCACGGUAGCGCGCAUUCAACUCCCUCUGCGCACUCACUCCCCUUCUCGGAUCCCCUGAGCUCUUUCUACCCGCAGAUCAUUCCCGCUCCGAAUCCCCGCCUGCCUGUUCCUGGCCCCUUCUCCUCGCCCCACGUUCCUAUUCUGCCACUGCGCUCAGCCUCCGCAACUGUCAUUUACAAACGAAGGCUGCGGGCUCUAGCCACCUUGCAGGCUCCGGGGACGGAGAUUUCCGGAGACCAGGACGCAGAUUUUGCGCUUCUAAAGCGUUCCCAGGACUUGGGAAAUCUGUCAGGCCUGAAUCCACGCUCUGAGCGCAAGUUCCACCCAUCUCUCCGUGGCCCGAAGCUGCACGGUGGAAAUCGCCGCCGGCCCUCGCUCUGGAAACAGCCCCUCCUCGGUUGGGCCCCUUCCGGCCCCGCCCCUUAUCCCACACGCUUCCUAGAGGCUGCACUUUCAGAACCCCGGGCUUCUCCGACACCACCGCUUGACAGCGCGAGAGGUCGCUAACUCGCCUCUCUUCGCAAAGUGUUGUGAAUUUCAAUUCUAAAAGCGCCGAAAAACUAUAUUCAGUGUGCUUGAUCACUGUACAGUGUUUCCACAAAGUUGGGCCUCUGGACGCUCCCCCAGCACUGCGGGAGGACCCUCCUUGCUUCUGGCCUCUGCGAUAUUAAAGGCCAUCUCACUUCCUGGUUGCCUGGAGGCCCAGAGGGUGGUGAGCCCCGGAUUGAAGGCGCCACUGGGCGGCGCGGGGCGCCGCUGGGGCUCUCCUGCCUGGCCAGCAUCACUUCCUGUUGAGGGGGAGGAGCAGAUCUAAGAAAGUCAGACUUGCUGUCUGCCUGACGCCCUUGCCUGGACUAAAGCCCACCGACACAGGCGUUACACUCUCCAAGGAUUGCGUUUAUACUAGACGAGGCCAUGGAAACACUAAGGGAUAUCGUGGCUCGCCUUCUCCUUGAGAUCCUCAGUGAAUUCCUUGCGGAGAAGAUAAAGAUCAAUAUAAGAGAGCAAGUAAGGGCAGAGUCAGAUGACCAGCGGAUGGGUUUCUUGGACCGCAUAGUUGCCCCUCUAAUGAAGAAGGUUCUUCAAUUGGUACUGGAGAAGACGGCUCCAGUGCUAUUCAACAGGUUUAUUGUGAAACCAUGGAAAUACGUCAUCACCUACGUUGCGAAAAAGAGGAUGCAUCCUGAACCAAUACAUGUGACGAUAGUUUAAUUACCAGUAUCCACGGCGCAGUCGAAGCUUGGACUACUACAAGCAAUCCACGUGGCUUCAACGCUAAGUAAAAGCACCGCAAGAUGGCCUUUUUCUGGCGGAAGGGGAGAUUUCGGUGUUCGCUGACUACCUGGCUGGCCAGUGGUGAGGAUAUUUCUGUUCUCAGCUCUUGGCUCUGCUCGGCUCUGCUCGGCUCUGCUCUGCUCUACUCUACUCUACACUACACUACCCUACAGUACUCUAUUGUCCUCGCCUCUACAGUAGUCUAGUCUGUUGACAAAACCGUGAAUAGGAUGGAGAAGAGAGAUGCUAAGGGGGAUCGUGAGUGCAUUUUUCGAGGAUCACACGGGUGUCGCUCUAACGAAAAAGUUAAUGACAAGGUCCACAGAACCAGUUGAUGUCGUUCUGAGACCAGAUGUCUAUGUCGCUAAUGGAGAUGAUUCUUAUAUUAGUUCUGGGCAACCAGUUCCUCCUGGAACGUUUCAAAACAUCAUCACGUUUUUUUUUUUUGUGAAAAAGAUGAUGCGUAGAAGCCAACCGUUGGGAUUGUGUAUCGCACAGGCAUUUAACCGCCAGAUCGUCGAGAGAUGGUUCUAAAGUAACAUCGUAUAUUCUGGGAGACUGCUCCCAUCCUAUAUUAGCAGCUCGUCAUGUCACCUUCAACAAACAGCAUCACACAUCUCGUUAAGAAGAUGAUGUGCUCAGCCAGCUUGUGGGGUUGCAGUUUAAUUACGAGUUAUCGUUUGCGGACAUAUCUAAACGGGCAGAUCAACGAGAAAACUUUAAAAAACAGCAUCGAAUAUCUUUUUUAAGAGAUGAUGCUUCGGAGACUAACAGCAAUGAUUGACGCAGAAAUAUGAAGUAUAAACCGGCACGAUACGAUAGCCAUAUAUUGGUGGACGAGAUGCCCUGUCUUUGCUUCCUCAGCAGUUACUCCCCGCUCCUAUCAGCAACAGCUGGAGGGACAUUUCUGUUCUCAACCCUUUGCUAUGCUCAUUUUGCCAAAUCUAAAUGCCUGACGAAGAAUAGAGUUUUGAAAUGCAGCAAAUAAAUACACGGAUUUAUCUUUAGUACAUGACAUGGAGUCUCCUGGCCUGAUUUUGUGCUGAUUUCCUUCUCCACUUUGGCUCUGGGUCUCUCUUCUGAACCAUUAGGGAUGGAGGGGGCUGAGAUUGUGGGGGUACACCGUUGAGGGAGAAAGUGUGUGUGGAGUGGGCUGACCAUGAAUGGGGGAGUUUCAGACUGGAAUUAAGAGUCCUGGGGGGAGCACUGAGAACCUGUUGUGUCAGGAAGGGAUGCCGAAGGUUGGGGGGCGGUUCUUAAGAAAGCUCGACGGUUACAGGGUGCAUUUCCUGCUUUGAAGGGAGUUUAGAAAAGGAGGACUAGAGGAACGAUGGCAUCCCUGAUGUCUUCCGUGGGAAAACAGGCACAGGAGAGGCAACAUUGCAGAGGUAAACAUUGCGGGCAGAUGAUGCUGCAGGUGAUAAAAAUUCUGUAGCAAGAGGAACCACUGGAUGGGUUAAGAGAGACCUGACCGGGGGUAGGUGAAAGUGGUCGAGAUCAAUCCAAGUGGAAGGCACACAGCUCCUCUUCCAGGGACCUCUGUGUACAUGGACAGCCUGCAGUGCUCUGGCUCUUUUCUCUCCUGACUCAAAGAAACCAUCCCAUUACCAACAUCUAUGACAGAAACCACUGUAGCCUGUCAGUGGAGAACAAAUGGAGAGAGAAGCACACUUGAUGGGCCCUUUUUUCUCAGUGGCGUUCAGCUGCACAGAGAGACCACCAGUCUACCACCAGUUGCCACAGAACCGACUCUGACUCCUGGAGACCCCAUGUUUUAGAAGUAGAUCCCCAGGCCUUUCUUCACAGGUGCCUCUGGCUGGACAUGAACUUCCAGCCUUGCAGUUUACAGCCCAGCCUUCGGCCAUUUGCACCACCAGGGGCUCGACAGAGACAGGCAGUUCCUCUCACAAUACUGUCUUUUCCUGUCAUGUGGCUGGAAGAACAGGGCACUGACAAGUUCCUUGGAGGUUAAAAAUCUUUAAAACUGGAUUCAUCUGUGCACCCUGGCUUCAAUACGCAAAUAGAAACCUGUGGUUGGUUUAACACAGAACCGACCUCUGGUGGGGCAAAUCUCUACUGAAUAGCCAUGUUUGGUUUCUACUCGAAGUAGCACAUUAAAUGCUGAAAGAAAAAAAAAAUCCUAUAGCGUUAGAGUCAUUUCCGACUCAUAGCGACCCUAUAGGACAGAGAAGAACUCCCCCAUAGGAUUUCCAAAGCUGUGAACUGUAAUUCCACCGUCAAGAAAGAUGUGCCGGCGGCAGAGCACGGCCUGUGCUCUCGAGGUCCCUGGGCUGUGAAGCCCCUAGACCAGGGCCAGUUUGUUGACAAGGACCUGCCCCCAGCGAUGAUACAGACGGAAAGCCUUCUCCUGGAUCUGGCGCCUUGAAUCCAGACUCCUAGCCAGCAUGCAUCUUAACGUUUGUGCCACUGUGGUGGCUUGCAUUUUCUCGUGAUACUGGAAGCUAUGCCACCACUAUUUCAAGUACCAGAGGACUCACCCAUGGUGGACAGGAUUCAGCGGGGCAUCCAGACUAACACAGGCUGAAAAGAAAGACCUGGCAGUUUAUUCUGAGAAGACUGGCCAGGAAAAAUCUUGUGAAUAACAGAGGAACAUUGUCGGAUAUGUUGCCAUAAAAGGAACCCAUCGGGUUGGAAGACACUCAAAACAAGACUGGGGAAGAGCUUCCUAAUCAUUGAACCAAACCAACCAACCAACCAAACAAACAAAAAACCCAUUGCCUUGGGGUCGGUUGUGAUUCAUAGCAACCCUAUAGGACACAGCAGAGCUACCCCAUAGGGUUUCCAAGGAGCACCUGGUGGAUUCAAACUGAGGACCUUUUGGUUAGCAGCCAUAGCACUUAACCACUAUGCCAUCGGGGUUUCCACUCAAAGGACAGUCGACGUUAAUGAUGUAGAUGGGGUCAAGAUUUCAAGAGCUUCAUUUGCUCUUGUGGCACAACUCAAAAUGAGAAAAAAACCCUGCAAACCCCCUUAAUAGUCAGAGUAGGGAAUGUACUGAGUAUGAGUCUAGGAAAAUUGGAACUGGGAAGAAACGAAAAGGAUCACAUAAAGGUGGAUAGCCUACACAUCAAUGAGAUCCAAUGGACCAGUGUUGGCCGUUUUGAGUCAGACGAUCACGUGUUCUACUAUGCCAGGAAUGACAACUUGAAGAGGAAUGGCGUUGCUUUCAUUGCCAAAAGGGGCAAUUCAAGAUCUAUCCUGAAGUGCAGAGCUGUUAGGGAGAGGAAGAUAUCCACACGCUUACAAGGAAGACCAGUUAAGAGGACUGUGAUUCAAAUUUACACACCAAGCACCAAUGCCAAAGCUGAAGAAAUUGAAGAUUUUUACCAACUUGUGCAGUCUGAAAUUGAUCAGCAUGCAAUUAAGAUGCAUCAGUAAUGACUGGUGGCUAGGAUGCAAAGCUGGAAAUAAAGAAGAAGAAGAAUAUGUAGUUGGAAAAUAUGCCCUUGCCGUAGAAAGGACUCCAGAGAUCUCCUGACAAAAUUUGACAAGACCAACGACUUCCUCGUUGCAAAUACCUUUUUUCGAUGACAUAAGUGCCGACUAUACACGUGGACCUCACCACGUGGAAAUCACAGGAAUCAAAGCCACUCUUCCUGUGGAAAGAGACCACGGAAAAGCUCAAUGCCAUCAGCCCAAACAAGGCCAGAGGCCAAAGGCAGAUCAGACCGGCAAUUGCUCAUGUGCAAGUUGAAGAUGAAGAAGAUUAAAACAAGUCUAGGAGAGCCAAGCUAGGACCCUGAGUACAUGCCACCUGAAUUUCAAGACCACCUCAAGAAUAGAUUCGACGCCUUGGACACCAAUAGCGGAGGACCAGCCAAGUUCUGGGAUGACCUCAAGCACGUCAUAGGUGAAGAAAGCAAAAGCUCAUUCAGAACACAGCAAACAGAGAAAAGAACAAAACGGAUGUCAGAAGAGAUUCUGAAAGUUGCUCUUGAACACGGAGUAGCUAAGGCGAGCAGAGGACAUGACGAACUAAAAGAGCUGAGCAGAAGAUUUCAAAGGACGGCAGGAGAAGACAAAGUGUCAGUGAAAUGUGCAAAUAUCUGCAGUUAGAAAACCAAAAGGUGACAAAGGCCCAAAGCCUGUUAAAUGGGGAAAAGACAGUCCCUUUAACAAAUGGUGCUGGCAUAACUGGAUACCCAUCAGCAGAAAAAGGAAGCAAGACCCAUACCUAACACCAUGCACGUACACUAAGUCCAAAUAGAUCAAAGACCUAAACAUAAAAUCUAAAACGAAACAGAUCAUGGAAGAAAAAAUAAGGACGACGCUAGGAGCCCUAAUACCUGGCAUAAACAGUAUACAAACAUCACUAACAACCCACAAACACCAGAAGAGACACUAGAUAACGGGGAGCUCCUAAAAAUCAAACAAUUAUGCUCCUCCAAAGACUUCACAAAAAGAGUAAAAAGGCUACCUACAGACUGGGAAGAAGUUUUUGGCUAAGGCCAAUCCAAUCAGCGAAUGAUCUCUAAAAUCUACACCAUACCGCCAAAACUCGACAAGAAAAAGACAAAUAACCCAAGGAAAAAAUAGGCAAAGGAUAGGAACAGGCGCUUCACCAAGGAAGACAUUCAGGCAGCUAAGAGAUACGUGAGGAAAUGCUCACAAUCAUUAGCCAUCAGAGAAAUGCAAAUCAAAACUACAACGAGAUACCAUCUCACCCCAAGAGGCUGACAUUAACCCAAAAAACAUAAAAUAAUAAAUGUUGGCGAGCUUGUGGAGAGACCGGAACACUGACACACUGCUGGUGGGAAUGUAAAAUGGUCCAAGCACUGCGGAAAUCAAUUUGGCGCUUCCAUAAAAAGCUGCAAAUAGCGCUACCAUACCAUCCUGCAAUACCACAACCUGGAAUGUAACCAGGAGAAAUAAGGGCCCUUGCACGAAUGGAUAUAUGCAUACCCAUGUUCAUUGCAGCUCUGUUUACAACGGCAAAAAGAUGGAAGCAACGGAGGUGCCCGUCAAGGGAUGAAUGGGUGAAUAAAUCAUGGCAUAUUCACAUAAUGGAAUACUAUGCAACGACUAAGAACGAGGAAUCCGUGAAACAUCUCAUAACGUGGAGGAAUCUGGAAGGCAUUAUGCUGAGUGAAAUUAGUCAGUUGCAAAAGGAGCAAUGUCGUAUGAGGCCACUAAUACAAGAACUCAAGAAAAAGUCUGAACACCGAAGAAAAUAUUCCUUGAUGGUUAUGAGGAUGGGGAGGGAGGGAGAGGGGUAUUCACUAAUUAGAUAGUACACAAGACAUAUUUUAGGUGAAGGGAAAGACAACACACAGUACCGGGAAGGUCAGCACAACUGGACUAAAGCAAAAGCUAAGAAGUUUCCCGAAUACAACCAAACGCUCGGAAGGCCAGAGCGCAGGGACAGGGGUCUGGGGACCAUGGUUUCAGGGGACGCACAGCUCCAUUGGCAUAACAAAAUACGUGUUAAGGAAACUUCUCCAUCUCACUUUGGUGAGUGGUGUCUGGGGCCUUAAACGCUGGCAAUCGGACGUCUAAGAUACAUCAAUUGCUCUCAACCCACCUGGAACAAAGGAGGACGAAGAACAGCGGAGACACAAGGUAAAUAUGAGCCCGGGAGACAGAGAGGACCACAUAACCAGAGACUCCAUCAGCCGGAGACUGGAAGAACUAGAUGGUGCCCGGCUACCACCGAGGACUCCCCCGAGAGGGAACACACCGGAGAAUCCCUGAUGGAGCAGGAGAACAGUGGGGUGCACACCUCGAACUCUCGUAGAAAGACCAGGCUUAAUGGUCUGACUGAGACUGGGGGGACCCCAGAUGUCAUGGCCCCAGGACCCUCUGUUAGCCCAAGACAGGAAACAUUCCCAAAGCCAACUCUUCAGGCAGGGAUUGGACUGGACUCUAAGACAGAAAAUGAUCCUGGUGAGGAGUGAGCUUCCUGGCUGAAGUAGACCCGGGAGACUAUUGGGGCAAAGACAGAGGGGGACAGGGGCUGGUUGAAUGCAUGCGGGGAAUACAGGGAGGAGAGGAGGAGUGUGCUGUCACAUUAGAGGGAGAGCGGCUAGGGUUCCACAGCAAGGUGUGCAUACAUUUUUGUAUGAGGCACUGACUUGAAUUGUAAACUUUCACUUCAAACACAGGAAAUAAAUAGAAAGAGAAAGAACGAAAACCAAAAGAAAGGAAGAAACCAGGCAUUUUUCCAGAUGAAAGAGCUGAGGAAAAAAUUCAAGCAUCGAGUUGCAAUUUUGAAGGAUUCUAUGGGCAAGAUGUUGAACGAUAGAGACAGCAUUAAAAGAAGAUGGAAGGGAUACACAGAGUCACUGUAUCAAAAAGAACUGGUCGACUUUCAAGCAUUUCAGGAGGUGGCGAAUCAUAAUGAGCCGAAAGCACUGAAGGAAGAAGUCCAAGCUGCACUGAACCCAUUGGUGAAAUCCAAGCCUCCACGAGUUGACAGAAUACCGACUGAGAUGUUUCAACGAAAGGAUGCAGCGCUAGAGGUGCUCCCUCAUCUCUGCCAAGAAACUUGGAACACAGCUCUCUGGCCAACCAACUGCAAGAGAUCCACAUUUGUGCCCGUGCCAGAGAAAGGCGAUCCAACAGAAUGCAGAAAUUAUCCAUCGAUAUCAUUAAUAUCUCAUCCAAAUAAAAUUUGCUGAAAAAAUUAAUAAAACAGUUGCGGCACCACAGGGACAAGGAACUGCCAGAAGUUGGAGUUGGAUUCAGAAGAGGGCGAGGAAUGAGGGAUAUCAUUGCUGACGUCAGAGGAUCUUGGCUGAAAGCAGAGAACAUCAGAAAGGUAUUUGGGGGUGUUUCGUUGGCUAUGCAGAUGCAUUUGAGUGUGCGGAUCAUAACAAAUUAUGCUUAACCUUGCGAAGAACGGGAACUCCAGGACACUUAAUUUUGCUCCUGUAGAACCUGCACCUACAACAAGAGGCAGUCAUUCAAACACAACAACAGCAUACUUCUGUGGUUCGACGUCCGGCAAGGUGCGUACCACGGUUGUAUCGGUUCACCAUACUUAUUCAAUCUGUAUGCGGAGCAAAUGACCCCAGAAGCUGGAAGAUAUGACGAAGAGCUUGGCGUCAGGAUCGGUGGAAGAUUCAUUACCAACCUGCGAUAUGUAGAUGGCACAAGCUUGUUUGCUGAAAUCAAAAAGACUGGAAGCAAUUACUCGUGAACAUCAGUAUGGAUUCCACCGCGACAAUAAUAAAAAAGAGAGAGAGAGAGAGAGAGAACUCACAACAGGACCAAUAAGCAACAUGAUGACAAACGGAGAAAAUAUUGAAGAUGUCCAGGAUUUCUGUUUACUUGGCUGCGCGGUCAUCACUCACAGAAGCAGUAAUCACGAAAUCCAAGGACGUAUUGCACCAGGCAAAUUUACUGCAAAAGACCUCUCUGAAGUGUUGAAAACAAAGGCAUCGCUUAGAGGACAAUGGUGCACCUCACCCAAGGAAUGAUCUUUUCGAUAGCCUCCUGUGCACGCCAAACCUGGAGAAUGAAUAACGAAGACGGAAGAAGAAUUGACGCCUUUCAAUUACGAUUCUGGCAAACAAUACUGAAUAUACCGUGCUGGUACACUGCUUACGCCUUCGCUGCUACCCAAAAGAUUGGCAGAUGAAAUCCACCAGCUGCUCCUUGGAAACUCUAUGGGUCGGUUCUACUCUGACCUUUCAUAGUUUUGCCAUAGGCGGGAACGCAUGGGCAGCGAUGGGUUUGGCUGGCCAGGAGAACCAACCAGUCCGCCUUGGAGGAAGCAGAGCCAGUGUGCUCCUUGGAAGCAAGGAGGAGGAGACUUUGUCUCACAUACUUUGGACAUGUUAUCAGGAGGGACUGGAAAAGGACAUCCCGCUUGGUAAGGUAGAGGGUCAGCGAAAAAGAGGAAGGCCCUCCAUGAGAUGGAUUGACACGGUGGCUACACAAUACGCUCAAACAUAGCAAGGACCGUGGGAUGGCGCAAGACUGGACAGUGUUUGGAUCUGUUGUACAAGGGUUGUGAUGCUUUGCAACUGACUGGACAGCCCCUAAUAACAGCAGCGGCCUCUACGGAAGAUGGCUGCAACAUCUUUCCCCGAAGAGCAGCUGGUGGGCUCCAACCACGGACCUUUCAGUUAACCACUUUCCCACAAGAGCUCCCCUACAAAGAUGACAGCCAGGAAAGGUCUAUGGGGCAUGCCUACCCUGUAACUCAUGGGGUCUCCGUGGCACAAUACAAUAACCAGCUGCCAUCCAGUAGAUUCCGCCUCAUAGAGACCAAGAGGACAGAGUAGAAGUGCCCCAUAGGGCUUCCCAGGCUCUAAAUCCUUACGGAAACCCGCCGUCCUAUCUUUCUCCCGUGGACGGGCCUGGUGGAUUCCGAUCGCUGAACCACUGCCACCGCCGGGGCUCUUUGCAAAAUACUACUUUUUUUCCCCUCUUUUCUUUUUUUAUUGUGCUUUAAGUGAAAGUUUACAAACCAAGUCAGUCUCUCAUACAAAAAUUUGUACACCUUGUUAUAUAUUCCUAGUUGCUCUCCCCCUAAUGAGACAGCACACUCUUUCCCUCCAAUCUCUAUUUUCUGCUCCAUUCGGCCAGCUUCUGACCCACUCUGCCCUCUCAUCUCCCAUCCAGACAGGAGCUGCCCACAUUGCCUCGUGUGUCUGCUUGAUCCAAGAAGCUCACUCUUCACCAGUUUCAUUUUCUGUUCCAUAGUCCAGUCCAGUCCGUUUCUAAAGAUUUGGCUUUGGGAAUGGUUCCAAUCUGGGGCUAACAGAAGGUCUGGGGACCAUGACCUCCGGGGUCCUUCUAAUCUCAGUCGGACCGUUACGUCUGGUCAUUUUCGGGGAAUUUGAGGUCUGCAUCCCACUGCUCUCCUUCUCCCUCAGGGGUUCUCUGUUGUUCCCUGUCAGGACAGUCACCGUUUUUAGCCAGGCAUCAUCGAGUUCUUUUGGUCUCAGGCUGAUGGAGUCUCUGGUUUAUGUGGCCCUUUCUGUCUCUUGGGCUCACAAUUACCGUGUGUCUUUGGUGUUCUUCAUUCUCCUUGCUCCAUCCGGGUGGUUGAGACCAAUGGAUGCAUCUUAGCUGGCCACUUGCUAGCAUUUAAGACCCCGGAUGCCACUCUCCAAAGUGGGAUGCAGAAUGUUUUCUUAAUAGGUUUUAUUAUGCCAAUUGACGUUGAUGUCCCCUUAAACCAUGGUCCCGCGCUGUACUGUUGUUACAAAGUAACAAACAAAAAAAGGAGUUGCCUCCACUACUGUCCCAGACUCAUAGGGACCCUACAGGACAGAGUAGGAAUGGCCCACAUGGUUUGUCAAGGGGCAGCUGGUUGAUUCCAACUGCUGCCCUUCCAGCAGCAGCCAAGCACUUAACCACUGCGCCACCAGGGCUCCUGGCCUUAUACUACAGACGCCAUUUGGGGGUUUCGGUUUGUCUGUUUGCUCUAAGUAGCAACCAAAGUGUGUGGAAGUGGCCCACACUCACGGUAGCGGGCAUUCAACUCCCCCUGCGCACUCACUCCCCUUCCCGGAUCCCCUGGGCUCUUUCUACCGGCAGAUCAUUCCCGCUCCGAAUCCCCGCCUGCCUGUUCCUGGCCCCUUCUCCUCGCCCCACGUUCCUAUUCUGCCACUGCGCUCAGCCUCCGCAACUGUCAUUUACAAACGAAGGCUGCGGGCUCUAGCCACCUUGCAGGCUCCGGGGACGGAGAUUUCCGGAGACCAGGACGCAGAUUUUGCGCUUCUAAAGCGUUCCCAGGACUUGGGAAAUCUGUCAGGCCUGAAUCCACGCUCUGAGCGCAAGUUCCACCCAUCUCUCCGUGGCCCGAAGCGGCACGGUGGAAAUCGCCGCCGGCCCUCGCUCUGGAAACAGCCCCUCCUCGGUUGGGCCCCUUCCGGCCCCGCCCCUUAUCCCACACGCUUCCUAGAGGCUGCACUUUCAGAACCCCGGGCUUCUCCGACACCACCGCUUGACAGCGCGAGAGGUCGCUAACUCGCCUCUCUUCGCAAAGUGUUGUGAAUUUCAAUUCUAAAAGCGCCGAAAAACUAUAUUCAGUGUGCUUGAUCACUGUACAGUGUUUCCACAAAGUUGGACCUCUGGACGCUCCCCCAGCACUGCGGGAGGACCCUCCUUGCUUCUGGCCUCUGCGAUAUUAAAGGCCAUCUCACUUCCUGGUUGCCUGGAGGCCCAGAGGGUGGUGAGCCCCGGAUUGAAGGCGCCACUGGGCGGCGCGGGGCGCCGCUGGGGCUCUCCUGCCUGGCCAGCAUCACUUCCUGUUGAGGGGGAGGAGCAGAUCUAAGAAAGUCAGACUUGCUGUCUGCCUGACGCCCUUGCCUGGACUAAAGCCCACCGACACAGGCGUUACACUCUCCAAGGAUUGCGUUUAUACUAGACGAGGCCAUGGAAACACUAAGGGAUAUCGUGGCUCGCCUUCUCCUUGAGAUCCUCAGUGAAUUUCUUGCGGAGAAGAUAGAGAUCAAUAUAAGAGAGCAAGUAAGGGCAGAGUCAGAUGACCAGCGGAUGGGUUUCUUGGACCGCAUGGUUGCCCCUCUAAUGAAGAAGGUUUUUCAAUUGGUACUGGAGAAGACGGCUCCAGUUCUAUUCAACAGGUUUAUUGUGAAACUAUGGAAAUACGUCAUCACCUACGUUGUGAAAAAGAGGGUGCAUCCUGAACCAAUACAUGUGACGAUAGUUUAAUUACCACUAUCCACGGCGCAGUCGAAGCUUGGACUACUACAAGCAAUCCACGUGGCUUCAACGCUAAGUAAAAGCACCGCAAGAUGGCCUUUUUCUGGCGGAAGGGGAGAUUUCGGUGUUCGCUGACUACCUGGCUGGCCAGUGGUGAGGAUAUUUCUGUCCUCAGCUCUUGGCUCUGCUCGGCUCUGCUCGGCUCUGCUCUGCUCUACUCUACUCUACACUACACUACCCUACAGUACUCUAUUGUCCUCGCCUCUACAGUAGUCUAGUCUGUUGACAAAACCGUGAAUAGGAUGGAGAAGAGAGAUGCUAAGGGGGAUCGUGAGUGCAUUUUUCGAGGAUCACACGGGUGUCGCUCUAACGAAAAAGUUAAUGACAAGGUCCACAGAACCAGUUGAUGUCGUUCUGAGACCAGAUGUCUAUGUCGCUAAUGGAGAUGAUUCUUAUAUUAGUUCUGGGCAACCAGUUCCUCCUGGAACGUUUCAAAACAUCAUCACGUUUUUUUUUUUUGUGAAAAAGAUGAUGCGUAGAAGCCAACCGUUGGGAUUGUGUAUCGCACAGGCAUUUAACCGCCAGAUCGUCGAGAGAUGGUUCUAAAGUAACAUCGUAUAUUCUGGGAGACUGCUCCCAUCCUAUAUUAGCAGCUCGUCAUGUCACCUUCAACAAACAGCAUCACACAUCUCGUUAAGAAGAUGAUGUGCUCAGCCAGCUUGUGGGGUUGCAGUUUAAUUACGAGUUAUCGUUUGCGGACAUAUCUAAACGGGCAGAUCAACGAGAAAACUUUAAAAAACAGCAUCGAAUAUCUUUUUUAAGAGAUGAUGCUUCGGAGACUAACAGCAAUGAUUGACGCAGAAAUAUGAAGUAUAAACCGGCACGAUACGAUAGCCAUAUAUUGGUGGACGAGAUGCCCUGUCUUUGCUUCCUCAGCAGUUACUCCCCGCUCCUAUCAGCAACAGCUGGAGGGACAUUUCUGUUCUCAACCCUUUGCUAUGCUCAUUUUGCCAAAUCUAAAUGCCUGACGAAGAAUAGAGUUUUGAAAUGCAGCAAAUAAAUACACGGAUUUAUCUUUAGUACAUGACAUGGAGUCUCCUGGCCUGAUUUUGUGCUGAUUUCCUUCUCCACUUUGGCUCUGGGUCUCUCUUCUGAACCAUUAGGGAUGGAGGGGGCUGAGAUUGUGGGGGUACACCGUUGAGGGAGAAAGUGUGUGUGGAGUGGGCUGACCAUGAAUGGGGGAGUUUCAGACUGGAAUUAAGAGUCCUGGGGGGAGCACUGAGAACCUGUUGUGUCAGGAAGGGAUGCCGAAGGUUGGGGGGCGGUUCUUAAGAAAGCUCGACGGUUACAGGGUGCAUUUCCUGCUUUGAAGGGAGUUUAGAAAAGGAGGACUAGAGGAACGAUGGCAUCCCUGAUGUCUUCCGUGGGAAAACAGGCACAGGAGAGGCAACAUUGCAGAGGUAAACAUUGCGGGCAGAUGAUGCUGCAGGUGAUAAAAAUUCUGUAGCAAGAGGAACCACUGGAUGGGUUAAGAGAGACCUGACCGGGGGUAGGUGAAAGUGGUCGAGAUCAAUCCAAGUGGAAGGCACACAGCUCCUCUUCCAGGGACCUCUGUGUACAUGGACAGCCUGCAGUGCUCUGGCUCUUUUCUCUCCUGACUCAAAGAAACCAUCCCAUUACCAACAUCUAUGACAGAAACCACUGUAGCCUGUCAGUGGAGAACAAAUGGAGAGAGAAGCACACUUGAUGGGCCCUUUUUUCUCAGUGGCGUUCAGCUGCACAGAGAGACCACCAGUCUACCACCAGUUGCCACAGAACCGACUCUGACUCCUGGAGACCCCAUGUUUUAGAAGUAGAUCCCCAGGCCUUUCUUCACAGGUGCCUCUGGCUGGACAUGAACUUCCAGCCUUGCAGUUUACAGCCCAGCCUUCGGCCAUUUGCACCACCAGGGGCUCGACAGAGACAGGCAGUUCCUCUCACAAUACUGUCUUUUCCUGUCAUGUGGCUGGAAGAACAGGGCACUGACAAGUUCCUUGGAGGUUAAAAAUCUUUAAAACUGGAUUCAUCUGUGCACCCUGGCUUCAAUACGCAAAUAGAAACCUGUGGUUGGUUUAACACAGAACCGACCUCUGGUGGGGCAAAUCUCUACUGAAUAGCCAUGUUUGGUUUCUACUCGAAGUAGCACAUUAAAUGCUGAAAGAAAAAAAAAAUCCUAUAGCGUUAGAGUCAUUUCCGACUCAUAGCGACCCUAUAGGACAGAGAAGAACUCCCCCAUAGGAUUUCCAAAGCUGUGAACUGUAAUUCCACCGUCAAGAAAGAUGUGCCGGCGGCAGAGCACGGCCUGUGCUCUCGAGGUCCCUGGGCUGUGAAGCCCCUAGACCAGGGCCAGUUUGUUGACAAGGACCUGCCCCCAGCGAUGAUACAGACGGAAAGCCUUCUCCUGGAUCUGGCGCCUUGAAUCCAGACUCCUAGCCAGCAUGCAUCUUAACGUUUGUGCCACUGUGGUGGCUUGCAUUUUCUCGUGAUACUGGAAGCUAUGCCACCACUAUUUCAAGUACCAGAGGACUCACCCAUGGUGGACAGGAUUCAGCGGGGCAUCCAGACUAACACAGGCUGAAAAGAAAGACCUGGCAGUUUAUUCUGAGAAGACUGGCCAGGAAAAAUCUUGUGAAUAACAGAGGAACAUUGUCGGAUAUGUUGCCAUAAAAGGAACCCAUCGGGUUGGAAGACACUCAAAACAAGACUGGGGAAGAGCUUCCUAAUCAUUGAACCAAACCAACCAACCAACCAAACAAACAAAAAACCCAUUGCCUUGGGGUUGGUUGUGAUUCAUAGCAACCCUAUAGGACACAGCAGAGCUACCCCAUAGGGUUUCCAAGGAGCACCUGGUGGAUUCAAACUGAGGACCUUUUGGUUAGCAGCCAUAGCACUUAACCACUAUGCCAUCGGGGUUUCCACUCAAAGGACAGUCGACGUUAAUGAUGUAGAUGGGGUCAAGAUUUCAAGAGCUUCAUUUGCUCUUGUGGCACAACUCAAAAUGAGAAAAAAACCCUGCAAACCCCCUUAAUAGUCAGAGUAGGGAAUGUACUGAGUAUGAGUCUAGGAAAAUUGGAACUGGGAAGAAACGAAAAGGAUCACAUAAAGGUGGAUAGCCUACACAUCAAUGAGAUCCAAUGGACCAGUGUUGGCCGUUUUGAGUCAGACGAUCACGUGUUCUACUAUGCCAGGAAUGACAACUUGAAGAGGAAUGGCGUUGCUUUCAUUGCCAAAAGGGGCAAUUCAAGAUCUAUCCUGAAGUGCAGAGCUGUUAGGGAGAGGAAGAUAUCCACACGCUUACAAGGAAGACCAGUUAAGAGGACUGUGAUUCAAAUUUACACACCAAGCACCAAUGCCAAAGCUGAAGAAAUUGAAGAUUUUUACCAACUUGUGCAGUCUGAAAUUGAUCAGCAUGCAAUUAAGAUGCAUCAGUAAUGACUGGUGGCUAGGAUGCAAAGCUGGAAAUAAAGAAGAAGAAGAAUAUGUAGUUGGAAAAUAUGCCCUUGCCGUAGAAAGGACUCCAGAGAUCUCCUGACAAAAUUUGACAAAACCAACGACUUCCUCGUUGCAAAUACCUUUUUUCGAUGACAUAAGUGCCGACUAUACACGUGGACCUCACCACGUGGAAAUCACAGGAAUCAAAGCCACUCUUCCUGUGGAAAGAGACCACGGAAAAGCUCAAUGCCAUCAGCCCAAACAAGGCCAGAGGCCAAAGGCAGAUCAGACCGGCAAUUGCUCAUGUGCAAGUUGAAGAUGAAGAAGAUUAAAACAAGUCUAGGAGAGCCAAGCUAGGACCCUGAGUACAUGCCACCUGAAUUUCAAGACCACCUCAAGAAUAGAUUCGACGCCUUGGACACCAAUAGCGGAGGACCAGCCAAGUUCUGGGAUGACCUCAAGCACGUCAUAGGUGAAGAAAGCAAAAGCUCAUUCAGAACACAGCAAACAGAGAAAAGAACAAAACGGAUGUCAGAAGAGAUUCUGAAAGUUGCUCUUGAACACGGAGUAGCUAAGGCGAGCAGAGGACAUGACGAACUAAAAGAGCUGAGCAGAAGAUUUCAAAGGACGGCAGGAGAAGACAAAGUGUCAGUGAAAUGUGCAAAUAUCUGCAGUUAGAAAACCAAAAGGUGACAAAGGCCCAAAGCCUGUUAAAUGGGGAAAAGACAGUCCCUUUAACAAAUGGUGCUGGCAUAACUGGAUACCCAUCAGCAGAAAAAGGAAGCAAGACCCAUACCUAACACCAUGCACGUACACUAAGUCCAAAUAGAUCAAAGACCUAAACAUAAAAUCUAAAACGAAACAGAUCAUGGAAGAAAAAAUAAGGACGACGCUAGGAGCCCUAAUACCUGGCAUAAACAGUAUACAAACAUCACUAACAACCCACAAACACCAGAAGAGACACUAGAUAACGGGGAGCUCCUAAAAAUCAAACAAUUAUGCUCCUCCAAAGACUUCACAAAAAGAGUAAAAAGGCUACCUACAGACUGGGAAGAAGUUUUUGGCUAAGGCCAAUCCAAUCAGCGAAUGAUCUCUAAAAUCUACACCAUACCGCCAAAACUCGACAAGAAAAAGACAAAUAACCCAAGGAAAAAAUAGGCAAAGGAUAGGAACAGGCGCUUCACCAAGGAAGACAUUCAGGCAGCUAAGAGAUACGUGAGGAAAUGCUCACAAUCAUUAGCCAUCAGAGAAAUGCAAAUCAAAACUACAACGAGAUACCAUCUCACCCCAAGAGGCUGACAUUAACCCAAAAAACAUAAAAUAAUAAAUGUUGGCGAGCUUGUGGAGAGACCGGAACACUGACACACUGCUGGUGGGAAUGUAAAAUGGUCCAAGCACUGCGGAAAUCAAUUUGGCGCUUCCAUAAAAAGCUGCAAAUAGCGCUACCAUACCAUCCUGCAAUACCACAACCUGGAAUGUAACCAGGAGAAAUAAGGGCCCUUGCACGAAUGGAUAUAUGCAUACCCAUGUUCAUUGCAGCUCUGUUUACAACGGCAAAAAGAUGGAAGCAACGGAGGUGCCCGUCAAGGGAUGAAUGGGUGAAUAAAUCAUGGCAUAUUCACAUAAUGGAAUACUAUGCAACGACUAAGAACGAGGAAUCCGUGAAACAUCUCAUAACGUGGAGGAAUCUGGAAGGCAUUAUGCUGAGUGAAAUUAGUCAGUUGCAAAAGGAGCAAUGUCGUAUGAGGCCACUAAUACAAGAACUCAAGAAAAAGUCUGAACACCGAAGAAAAUAUUCCUUGAUGGUUAUGAGGAUGGGGAGGGAGGGAGAGGGGUAUUCACUAAUUAGAUAGUACACAAGACAUAUUUUAGGUGAAGGGAAAGACAACACACAGUACCGGGAAGGUCAGCACAACUGGACUAAAGCAAAAGCUAAGAAGUUUCCCGAAUACAACCAAACGCUCGGAAGGCCAGAGCGCAGGGACAGGGGUCUGGGGACCAUGGUUUCAGGGGACGCACAGCUCCAUUGGCAUAACAAAAUACGUGUUAAGGAAACUUCUCCAUCUCACUUUGGUGAGUGGUGUCUGGGGCCUUAAACGCUGGCAAUCGGACGUCUAAGAUACAUCAAUUGCUCUCAACCCACCUGGAACAAAGGAGGACGAAGAACAGCGGAGACACAAGGUAAAUAUGAGCCCGGGAGACAGAGAGGACCACAUAACCAGAGACUCCAUCAGCCGGAGACUGGAAGAACUAGAUGGUGCCCGGCUACCACCGAGGACUCCCCCGAGAGGGAACACACCGGAGAAUCCCUGAUGGAGCAGGAGAACAGUGGGGUGCACACCUCGAACUCUCGUAGAAAGACCAGGCUUAAUGGUCUGACUGAGACUGGGGGGACCCCAGAUGUCAUGGCCCCAGGACCCUCUGUUAGCCCAAGACAGGAAACAUUCCCAAAGCCAACUCUUCAGGCAGGGAUUGGACUGGACUCUAAGACAGAAAAUGAUCCUGGUGAGGAGUGAGCUUCCUGGCUGAAGUAGACCCGGGAGACUAUUGGGGCAAAGACAGAGGGGGACAGGGGCUGGUUGAAUGCAUGCGGGGAAUACAGGGAGGAGAGGAGGAGUGUGCUGUCACAUUAGAGGGAGAGCGGCUAGGGUUCCACAGCAAGGUGUGCAUACAUUUUUGUAUGAGGCACUGACUUGAAUUGUAAACUUUCACUUCAAACACAGGAAAUAAAUAGAAAGAGAAAGAACGAAAACCAAAAGAAAGGAAGAAACCAGGCAUUUUUCCAGAUGAAAGAGCUGAGGAAAAAAUUCAAGCAUCGAGUUGCAAUUUUGAAGGAUUCUAUGGGCAAGAUGUUGAACGAUAGAGACAGCAUUAAAAGAAGAUGGAAGGGAUACACAGAGUCACUGUAUCAAAAAGAACUGGUCGACUUUCAAGCAUUUCAGGAGGUGGCGAAUCAUAAUGAGCCGAAAGCACUGAAGGAAGAAGUCCAAGCUGCACUGAACCCAUUGGUGAAAUCCAAGCCUCCACGAGUUGACAGAAUACCGACUGAGAUGUUUCAACGAAAGGAUGCAGCGCUAGAGGUGCUCCCUCAGCUCUGCCAAGAAACUUGGAACACAGCUCUCUGGCCAACCAACUGCAAGAGAUCCACAUUUGUGCCCGUGCCAGAGAAAGGCGAUCCAACAGAAUGCAGAAAUUAUCCAUCGAUAUCAUUAAUAUCUCAUCCAAAUAAAAUUUGCUGAAAAAAUUAAUAAAACAGUUGCGGCACCACAGGGACAAGGAACUGCCAGAAGUUGGAGUUGGAUUCAGAAGAGGGCGAGGAAUGAGGGAUAUCAUUGCUGACGUCAGAGGAUCUUGGCUGAAAGCAGAGAACAUCAGAAAGGUAUUUGGGGGUGUUUCGUUGGCUAUGCAGAUGCAUUUGAGUGUGCGGAUCAUAACAAAUUAUGCUUAACCUUGCGAAGAACGGGAACUCCAGGACACUUAAUUUUGCUCCUGUAGAACCUGCACCUACAACAAGAGGCAGUCAUUCAAACACAACAACAGCAUACUUCUGUGGUUCGACGUCCGGCAAGGUGCGUACCACGGUUGUAUCGGUUCACCAUACUUAUUCAAUCUGUAUGCGGAGCAAAUGACCCCACAAGCUGGAAGAUAUGACGAAGAGCUUGGCGUCAGGAUCGGUGGAAGAUUCAUUACCAACCUGCGAUAUGUAGAUGGCACAAGCUUGUUUGCUGAAAUCAAAAAGACUGGAAGCAAUUACUCGUGAACAUCAGUAUGGAUUCCACCGCGACAAUAAUAAAAAAGAGAGAGAGAGAGAGAGAGAACUCACAACAGGACCAAUAAGCAACAUGAUGACAAACGGAGAAAAUAUUGAAGAUGUCCAGGAUUUCUGUUUACUUGGCUGCGCGGUCAUCACUCACAGAAGCAGUAAUCACGAAAUCCAAGGACGUAUUGCACCAGGCAAAUUUACUGCAAAAGACCUCUCUGAAGUGUUGAAAACAAAGGCAUCGCUUAGAGGACAAUGGUGCACCUCACCCAAGGAAUGAUCUUUUCGAUAGCCUCCUGUGCACGCCAAACCUGGAGAAUGAAUAACGAAGACGGAAGAAGAAUUGACGCCUUUCAAUUACGAUUCUGGCAAACAAUACUGAAUAUACCGUGCUGGUACACUGCUUACGCCUUCGCUGCUACCCAAAAGAUUGGCAGAUGAAAUCCACCAGCUGCUCCUUGGAAACUCUAUGGGUCGGUUCUACUCUGACCUUUCAUAGUUUUGCCAUAGGCGGGAACGCAUGGGCAGCGAUGGGUUUGGCUGGCCAGGAGAACCAACCAGUCCGCCUUGGAGGAAGCAGAGCCAGUGUGCUCCUUGGAAGCAAGGAGGAGGAGACUUUGUCUCACAUACUUUGGACAUGUUAUCAGGAGGGACUGGAAAAGGACAUCCCGCUUGGUAAGGUAGAGGGUCAGCGAAAAAGAGGAAGGCCCUCCAUGAGAUGGAUUGACACGGUGGCUACACAAUACGCUCAAACAUAGCAAGGACCGUGGGAUGGCGCAAGACUGGACAGUGUUUGGAUCUGUUGUACAAGGGUUGUGAUGCUUUGCAACUGACUGGACAGCCCCUAAUAACAGCAGCGGCCUCUACGGAAGAUGGCUGCAACAUCUUUCCCCGAAGAGCAGCUGGUGGGCUCCAACCACGGACCUUUCAGUUAACCACUUUCCCACAAGAGCUCCCCUACAAAGAUGACAGCCAGGAAAGGUCUAUGGGGCAUGCCUACCCUGUAACUCAUGGGGUCUCCGUGGCACAAUACAAUAACCAGCUGCCAUCCAGUAGAUUCCGCCUCAUAGAGACCAAGAGGACAGAGUAGAAGUGCCCCAUAGGGCUUCCCAGGCUCUAAAUCCUUACGGAAACCCGCCGUCCUAUCUUUCUCCCGUGGACGGGCCUGGUGGAUUCCGAUCGCUGAACCACUGCCACCGCCGGGGCUCUUUGCAAAAUACUACUUUUUUUCCCCUCUUUUCUUUUUUUAUUGUGCUUUAAGUGAAAGUUUACAAACCAAGUCAGUCUCUCAUACAAAAAUUUGUACACCUUGUUAUAUAUUCCUAGUUGCUCUCCCCCUAAUGAGACAGCACACUCUUUCCCUCCAAUCUCUAUUUUCUGCUCCAUUCGGCCAGCUUCUGACCCACUCUGCCCUCUCAUCUCCCAUCCAGACAGGAGCUGCCCACAUUGCCUCGUGUGUCUGCUUGAUCCAAGAAGCUCACUCUUCACCAGUUUCAUUUUCUGUUCCAUAGUCCAGUCCAGUCCGUUUCUAAAGAUUUGGCUUUGGGAAUGGUUCCAAUCUGGGGCUAACAGAAGGUCUGGGGACCAUGACCUCCGGGGUCCUUCUAAUCUCAGUCGGACCGUUACGUCUGGUCAUUUUCGGGGAAUUUGAGGUCUGCAUCCCACUGCUCUCCUUCUCCCUCAGGGGUUCUCUGUUGUUCCCUGUCAGGACAGUCACCGUUUUUAGCCAGGCAUCAUCGAGUUCUUUUGGUCUCAGGCUGAUGGAGUCUCUGGUUUAUGUGGCCCUUUCUGUCUCUUGGGCUCACAAUUACCGUGUGUCUUUGGUGUUCUUCAUUCUCCUUGCUCCAUCCGGGUGGUUGAGACCAAUGGAUGCAUCUUAGCUGGCCACUUGCUAGCAUUUAAGACCCCGGAUGCCACUCUCCAAAGUGGGAUGCAGAAUGUUUUCUUAAUAGGUUUUAUUAUGCCAAUUGACGUUGAUGUCCCCUUAAACCAUGGUCCCGCGCUGUACUGUUGUUACAAAGUAACAAACAAAAAAAGGAGUUGCCUCCACUACUGUCCCAGACUCAUAGGGACCCUACAGGACAGAGUAGGAAUGGCCCACAUGGUUUGUCAAGGGGCAGCUGGUUGAUUCCAACUGCUGCCCUUCCAGCAGCAGCCAAGCACUUAACCACUGCGCCACCAGGGCUCCUGGCCUUAUACUACAGACGCCAUUUGGGGGUUUCGGUUUGUCUGUUUGCUCUAAGUAGCAACCAAAGUGUGUGGAAGUGGCCCACACUCACGGUAGCGGGCAUUCAACUCCCCCUGCGCACUCACUCCCCUUCCCGGAUCCCCUGGGCUCUUUCUACCGGCAGAUCAUUCCCGCUCCGAAUCCCCGCCUGCCUGUUCCUGGCCCCUUCUCCUCGCCCCACGUUCCUAUUCUGCCACUGCGCUCAGCCUCCGCAACUGUCAUUUACAAACGAAGGCUGCGGGCUCUAGCCACCUUGCAGGCUCCGGGGACGGAGAUUUCCGGAGACCAGGACGCAGAUUUUGCGCUUCUAAAGCGUUCCCAGGACUUGGGAAAUCUGUCAGGCCUGAAUCCACGCUCUGAGCGCAAGUUCCACCCAUCUCUCCGUGGCCCGAAGCGGCACGGUGGAAAUCGCCGCCGGCCCUCGCUCUGGAAACAGCCCCUCCUCGGUUGGGCCCCUUCCGGCCCCGCCCCUUAUCCCACACGCUUCCUAGAGGCUGCACUUUCAGAACCCCGGGCUUCUCCGACACCACCGCUUGACAGCGCGAGAGGUCGCUAACUCGCCUCUCUUCGCAAAGUGUUGUGAAUUUCAAUUCUAAAAGCGCCGAAAAACUAUAUUCAGUGUGCUUGAUCACUGUACAGUGUUUCCACAAAGUUGGACCUCUGGACGCUCCCCCAGCACUGCGGGAGGACCCUCCUUGCUUCUGGCCUCUGCGAUAUUAAAGGCCAUCUCACUUCCUGGUUGCCUGGAGGCCCAGAGGGUGGUGAGCCCCGGAUUGAAGGCGCCACUGGGCGGCGCGGGGCGCCGCUGGGGCUCUCCUGCCUGGCCAGCAUCACUUCCUGUUGAGGGGGAGGAGCAGAUCUAAGAAAGUCAGACUUGCUGUCUGCCUGACGCCCUUGCCUGGACUAAAGCCCACCGACACAGGCGUUACACUCUCCAAGGAUUGCGUUUAUACUAGACGAGGCCAUGGAAACACUAAGGGAUAUCGUGGCUCGCCUUCUCCUUGAGAUCCUCAGUGAAUUUCUUGCGGAGAAGAUAGAGAUCAAUAUAAGAGAGCAAGUAAGGGCAGAGUCAGAUGACCAGCGGAUGGGUUUCUUGGACCGCAUGGUUGCCCCUCUAAUGAAGAAGGUUUUUCAAUUGGUACUGGAGAAGACGGCUCCAGUUCUAUUCAACAGGUUUAUUGUGAAACUAUGGAAAUACGUCAUCACCUACGUUGUGAAAAAGAGGGUGCAUCCUGAACCAAUACAUGUGACGAUAGUUUAAUUACCACUAUCCACGGCGCAGUCGAAGCUUGGACUACUACAAGCAAUCCACGUGGCUUCAACGCUAAGUAAAAGCACCGCAAGAUGGCCUUUUUCUGGCGGAAGGGGAGAUUUCGGUGUUCGCUGACUACCUGGCUGGCCAGUGGUGAGGAUAUUUCUGUCCUCAGCUCUUGGCUCUGCUCGGCUCUGCUCGGCUCUGCUCUGCUCUACUCUACUCUACACUACACUACCCUACAGUACUCUAUUGUCCUCGCCUCUACAGUAGUCUAGUCUGUUGACAAAACCGUGAAUAGGAUGGAGAAGAGAGAUGCUAAGGGGGAUCGUGAGUGCAUUUUUCGAGGAUCACACGGGUGUCGCUCUAACGAAAAAGUUAAUGACAAGGUCCACAGAACCAGUUGAUGUCGUUCUGAGACCAGAUGUCUAUGUCGCUAAUGGAGAUGAUUCUUAUAUUAGUUCUGGGCAACCAGUUCCUCCUGGAACGUUUCAAAACAUCAUCACGUUUUUUUUUUUUGUGAAAAAGAUGAUGCGUAGAAGCCAACCGUUGGGAUUGUGUAUCGCACAGGCAUUUAACCGCCAGAUCGUCGAGAGAUGGUUCUAAAGUAACAUCGUAUAUUCUGGGAGACUGCUCCCAUCCUAUAUUAGCAGCUCGUCAUGUCACCUUCAACAAACAGCAUCACACAUCUCGUUAAGAAGAUGAUGUGCUCAGCCAGCUUGUGGGGUUGCAGUUUAAUUACGAGUUAUCGUUUGCAGACAUAUCUAAACGGGCAGAUCAACGAGAAAACUUUAAAAAACAGCAUCGAAUAUCUUUUUUAAGAGAUGAUGCUUCGGAGACUAACAGCAAUGAUUGACGCAGAAAUAUGAAGUAUAAACCGGCACGAUACGAUAGCCAUAUAUUGGUGGACGAGAUGCCCUGUCUUUGCUUCCUCAGCAGUUACUCCCCGCUCCUAUCAGCAACAGCUGGAGGGACAUUUCUGUUCUCAACCCUUUGCUAUGCUCAUUUUGCCAAAUCUAAAUGCCUGACGAAGAAUAGAGUUUUGAAAUGCAGCAAAUAAAUACACGGAUUUAUCUUUAGUACAUGACAUGGAGUCUCCUGGCCUGAUUUUGUGCUGAUUUCCUUCUCCACUUUGGCUCUGGGUCUCUCUUCUGAACCAUUAGGGAUGGAGGGGGCUGAGAUUGUGGGGGUACACCGUUGAGGGAGAAAGUGUGUGUGGAGUGGGCUGACCAUGAAUGGGGGAGUUUCAGACUGGAAUUAAGAGUCCUGGGGGGAGCACUGAGAACCUGUUGUGUCAGGAAGGGAUGCCGAAGGUUGGGGGGCGGUUCUUAAGAAAGCUCGACGGUUACAGGGUGCAUUUCCUGCUUUGAAGGGAGUUUAGAAAAGGAGGACUAGAGGAACGAUGGCAUCCCUGAUGUCUUCCGUGGGAAAACAGGCACAGGAGAGGCAACAUUGCAGAGGUAAACAUUGCGGGCAGAUGAUGCUGCAGGUGAUAAAAAUUCUGUAGCAAGAGGAACCACUGGAUGGGUUAAGAGAGACCUGACCGGGGGUAGGUGAAAGUGGUCGAGAUCAAUCCAAGUGGAAGGCACACAGCUCCUCUUCCAGGGACCUCUGUGUACAUGGACAGCCUGCAGUGCUCUGGCUCUUUUCUCUCCUGACUCAAAGAAACCAUCCCAUUACCAACAUCUAUGACAGAAACCACUGUAGCCUGUCAGUGGAGAACAAAUGGAGAGAGAAGCACACUUGAUGGGCCCUUUUUUCUCAGUGGCGUUCAGCUGCACAGAGAGACCACCAGUCUACCACCAGUUGCCACAGAACCGACUCUGACUCCUGGAGACCCCAUGUUUUAGAAGUAGAUCCCCAGGCCUUUCUUCACAGGUGCCUCUGGCUGGACAUGAACUUCCAGCCUUGCAGUUUACAGCCCAGCCUUCGGCCAUUUGCACCACCAGGGGCUCGACAGAGACAGGCAGUUCCUCUCACAAUACUGUCUUUUCCUGUCAUGUGGCUGGAAGAACAGGGCACUGACAAGUUCCUUGGAGGUUAAAAAUCUUUAAAACUGGAUUCAUCUGUGCACCCUGGCUUCAAUACGCAAAUAGAAACCUGUGGUUGGUUUAACACAGAACCGACCUCUGGUGGGGCAAAUCUCUACUGAAUAGCCAUGUUUGGUUUCUACUCGAAGUAGCACAUUAAAUGCUGAAAGAAAAAAAAAAUCCUAUAGCGUUAGAGUCAUUUCCGACUCAUAGCGACCCUAUAGGACAGAGAAGAACUCCCCCAUAGGAUUUCCAAAGCUGUGAACUGUAAUUCCACCGUCAAGAAAGAUGUGCCGGCGGCAGAGCACGGCCUGUGCUCUCGAGGUCCCUGGGCUGUGAAGCCCCUAGACCAGGGCCAGUUUGUUGACAAGGACCUGCCCCCAGCGAUGAUACAGACGGAAAGCCUUCUCCUGGAUCUGGCGCCUUGAAUCCAGACUCCUAGCCAGCAUGCAUCUUAACGUUUGUGCCACUGUGGUGGCUUGCAUUUUCUCGUGAUACUGGAAGCUAUGCCACCACUAUUUCAAGUACCAGAGGACUCACCCAUGGUGGACAGGAUUCAGCGGGGCAUCCAGACUAACACAGGCUGAAAAGAAAGACCUGGCAGUUUAUUCUGAGAAGACUGGCCAGGAAAAAUCUUGUGAAUAACAGAGGAACAUUGUCGGAUAUGUUGCCAUAAAAGGAACCCAUCGGGUUGGAAGACACUCAAAACAAGACUGGGGAAGAGCUUCCUAAUCAUUGAACCAAACCAACCAACCAACCAAACAAACAAAAAACCCAUUGCCUUGGGGUUGGUUGUGAUUCAUAGCAACCCUAUAGGACACAGCAGAGCUACCCCAUAGGGUUUCCAAGGAGCACCUGGUGGAUUCAAACUGAGGACCUUUUGGUUAGCAGCCAUAGCACUUAACCACUAUGCCAUCGGGGUUUCCACUCAAAGGACAGUCGACGUUAAUGAUGUAGAUGGGGUCAAGAUUUCAAGAGCUUCAUUUGCUCUUGUGGCACAACUCAAAAUGAGAAAAAAACCCUGCAAACCCCCUUAAUAGUCAGAGUAGGGAAUGUACUGAGUAUGAGUCUAGGAAAAUUGGAACUGGGAAGAAACGAAAAGGAUCACAUAAAGGUGGAUAGCCUACACAUCAAUGAGAUCCAAUGGACCAGUGUUGGCCGUUUUGAGUCAGACGAUCACGUGUUCUACUAUGCCAGGAAUGACAACUUGAAGAGGAAUGGCGUUGCUUUCAUUGCCAAAAGGGGCAAUUCAAGAUCUAUCCUGAAGUGCAGAGCUGUUAGGGAGAGGAAGAUAUCCACACGCUUACAAGGAAGACCAGUUAAGAGGACUGUGAUUCAAAUUUACACACCAAGCACCAAUGCCAAAGCUGAAGAAAUUGAAGAUUUUUACCAACUUGUGCAGUCUGAAAUUGAUCAGCAUGCAAUUAAGAUGCAUCAGUAAUGACUGGUGGCUAGGAUGCAAAGCUGGAAAUAAAGAAGAAGAAGAAUAUGUAGUUGGAAAAUAUGCCCUUGCCGUAGAAAGGACUCCAGAGAUCUCCUGACAAAAUUUGACAAGACCAACGACUUCCUCGUUGCAAAUACCUUUUUUCGAUGACAUAAGUGCCGACUAUACACGUGGACCUCACCACGUGGAAAUCACAGGAAUCAAAGCCACUCUUCCUGUGGAAAGAGACCACGGAAAAGCUCAAUGCCAUCAGCCCAAACAAGGCCAGAGGCCAAAGGCAGAUCAGACCGGCAAUUGCUCAUGUGCAAGUUGAAGAUGAAGAAGAUUAAAACAAGUCUAGGAGAGCCAAGCUAGGACCCUGAGUACAUGCCACCUGAAUUUCAAGACCACCUCAAGAAUAGAUUCGACGCCUUGGACACCAAUAGCGGAGGACCAGCCAAGUUCUGGGAUGACCUCAAGCACGUCAUAGGUGAAGAAAGCAAAAGCUCAUUCAGAACACAGCAAACAGAGAAAAGAACAAAACGGAUGUCAGAAGAGAUUCUGAAAGUUGCUCUUGAACACGGAGUAGCUAAGGCGAGCAGAGGACAUGACGAACUAAAAGAGCUGAGCAGAAGAUUUCAAAGGACGGCAGGAGAAGACAAAGUGUCAGUGAAAUGUGCAAAUAUCUGCAGUUAGAAAACCAAAAGGUGACAAAGGCCCAAAGCCUGUUAAAUGGGGAAAAGACAGUCCCUUUAACAAAUGGUGCUGGCAUAACUGGAUACCCAUCAGCAGAAAAAGGAAGCAAGACCCAUACCUAACACCAUGCACGUACACUAAGUCCAAAUAGAUCAAAGACCUAAACAUAAAAUCUAAAACGAAACAGAUCAUGGAAGAAAAAAUAAGGACGACGCUAGGAGCCCUAAUACCUGGCAUAAACAGUAUACAAACAUCACUAACAACCCACAAACACCAGAAGAGACACUAGAUAACGGGGAGCUCCUAAAAAUCAAACAAUUAUGCUCCUCCAAAGACUUCACAAAAAGAGUAAAAAGGCUACCUACAGACUGGGAAGAAGUUUUUGGCUAAGGCCAAUCCAAUCAGCGAAUGAUCUCUAAAAUCUACACCAUACCGCCAAAACUCGACAAGAAAAAGACAAAUAACCCAAGGAAAAAAUAGGCAAAGGAUAGGAACAGGCGCUUCACCAAGGAAGACAUUCAGGCAGCUAAGAGAUACGUGAGGAAAUGCUCACAAUCAUUAGCCAUCAGAGAAAUGCAAAUCAAAACUACAACGAGAUACCAUCUCACCCCAAGAGGCUGACAUUAACCCAAAAAACAUAAAAUAAUAAAUGUUGGCGAGCUUGUGGAGAGACCGGAACACUGACACACUGCUGGUGGGAAUGUAAAAUGGUCCAAGCACUGCGGAAAUCAAUUUGGCGCUUCCAUAAAAAGCUGCAAAUAGCGCUACCAUACCAUCCUGCAAUACCACAACCUGGAAUGUAACCAGGAGAAAUAAGGGCCCUUGCACGAAUGGAUAUAUGCAUACCCAUGUUCAUUGCAGCUCUGUUUACAACGGCAAAAAGAUGGAAGCAACGGAGGUGCCCGUCAAGGGAUGAAUGGGUGAAUAAAUCAUGGCAUAUUCACAUAAUGGAAUACUAUGCAACGACUAAGAACGAGGAAUCCGUGAAACAUCUCAUAACGUGGAGGAAUCUGGAAGGCAUUAUGCUGAGUGAAAUUAGUCAGUUGCAAAAGGAGCAAUGUCGUAUGAGGCCACUAAUACAAGAACUCAAGAAAAAGUCUGAACACCGAAGAAAAUAUUCCUUGAUGGUUAUGAGGAUGGGGAGGGAGGGAGAGGGGUAUUCACUAAUUAGAUAGUACACAAGACAUAUUUUAGGUGAAGGGAAAGACAACACACAGUACCGGGAAGGUCAGCACAACUGGACUAAAGCAAAAGCUAAGAAGUUUCCCGAAUACAACCAAACGCUCGGAAGGCCAGAGCGCAGGGACAGGGGUCUGGGGACCAUGGUUUCAGGGGACGCACAGCUCCAUUGGCAUAACAAAAUACGUGUUAAGGAAACUUCUCCAUCUCACUUUGGUGAGUGGUGUCUGGGGCCUUAAACGCUGGCAAUCGGACGUCUAAGAUACAUCAAUUGCUCUCAACCCACCUGGAACAAAGGAGGACGAAGAACAGCGGAGACACAAGGUAAAUAUGAGCCCGGGAGACAGAGAGGACCACAUAACCAGAGACUCCAUCAGCCGGAGACUGGAAGAACUAGAUGGUGCCCGGCUACCACCGAGGACUCCCCCGAGAGGGAACACACCGGAGAAUCCCUGAUGGAGCAGGAGAACAGUGGGGUGCACACCUCGAACUCUCGUAGAAAGACCAGGCUUAAUGGUCUGACUGAGACUGGGGGGACCCCAGAUGUCAUGGCCCCAGGACCCUCUGUUAGCCCAAGACAGGAAACAUUCCCAAAGCCAACUCUUCAGGCAGGGAUUGGACUGGACUCUAAGACAGAAAAUGAUCCUGGUGAGGAGUGAGCUUCCUGGCUGAAGUAGACCCGGGAGACUAUUGGGGCAAAGACAGAGGGGGACAGGGGCUGGUUGAAUGCAUGCGGGGAAUACAGGGAGGAGAGGAGGAGUGUGCUGUCACAUUAGAGGGAGAGCGGCUAGGGUUCCACAGCAAGGUGUGCAUACAUUUUUGUAUGAGGCACUGACUUGAAUUGUAAACUUUCACUUCAAACACAGGAAAUAAAUAGAAAGAGAAAGAACGAAAACCAAAAGAAAGGAAGAAACCAGGCAUUUUUCCAGAUGAAAGAGCUGAGGAAAAAAUUCAAGCAUCGAGUUGCAAUUUUGAAGGAUUCUAUGGGCAAGAUGUUGAACGAUAGAGACAGCAUUAAAAGAAGAUGGAAGGGAUACACAGAGUCACUGUAUCAAAAAGAACUGGUCGACUUUCAAGCAUUUCAGGAGGUGGCGAAUCAUAAUGAGCCGAAAGCACUGAAGGAAGAAGUCCAAGCUGCACUGAACCCAUUGGUGAAAUCCAAGCCUCCACGAGUUGACAGAAUACCGACUGAGAUGUUUCAACGAAAGGAUGCAGCGCUAGAGGUGCUCCCUCAGCUCUGCCAAGAAACUUGGAACACAGCUCUCUGGCCAACCAACUGCAAGAGAUCCACAUUUGUGCCCGUGCCAGAGAAAGGCGAUCCAACAGAAUGCAGAAAUUAUCCAUCGAUAUCAUUAAUAUCUCAUCCAAAUAAAAUUUGCUGAAAAAAUUAAUAAAACAGUUGCGGCACCACAGGGACAAGGAACUGCCAGAAGUUGGAGUUGGAUUCAGAAGAGGGCGAGGAAUGAGGGAUAUCAUUGCUGACGUCAGAGGAUCUUGGCUGAAAGCAGAGAACAUCAGAAAGGUAUUUGGGGGUGUUUCGUUGGCUAUGCAGAUGCAUUUGAGUGUGCGGAUCAUAACAAAUUAUGCUUAACCUUGCGAAGAACGGGAACUCCAGGACACUUAAUUUUGCUCCUGUAGAACCUGCACCUACAACAAGAGGCAGUCAUUCAAACACAACAACAGCAUACUUCUGUGGUUCGACGUCCGGCAAGGUGCGUACCACGGUUGUAUCGGUUCACCAUACUUAUUCAAUCUGUAUGCGGAGCAAAUGACCCCAGAAGCUGGAAGAUAUGACGAAGAGCUUGGCGUCAGGAUCGGUGGAAGAUUCAUUACCAACCUGCGAUAUGUAGAUGGCACAAGCUUGUUUGCUGAAAUCAAAAAGACUGGAAGCAAUUACUCGUGAACAUCAGUAUGGAUUCCACCGCGACAAUAAUAAAAAAGAGAGAGAGAGAGAGAGAGAACUCACAACAGGACCAAUAAGCAACAUGAUGACAAACGGAGAAAAUAUUGAAGAUGUCCAGGAUUUCUGUUUACUUGGCUGCGCGGUCAUCACUCACAGAAGCAGUAAUCACGAAAUCCAAGGACGUAUUGCACCAGGCAAAUUUACUGCAAAAGACCUCUCUGAAGUGUUGAAAACAAAGGCAUCGCUUAGAGGACAAUGGUGCACCUCACCCAAGGAAUGAUCUUUUCGAUAGCCUCCUGUGCACGCCAAACCUGGAGAAUGAAUAACGAAGACGGAAGAAGAAUUGACGCCUUUCAAUUACGAUUCUGGCAAACAAUACUGAAUAUACCGUGCUGGUACACUGCUUACGCCUUCGCUGCUACCCAAAAGAUUGGCAGAUGAAAUCCACCAGCUGCUCCUUGGAAACUCUAUGGGUCGGUUCUACUCUGACCUUUCAUAGUUUUGCCAUAGGCGGGAACGCAUGGGCAGCGAUGGGUUUGGCUGGCCAGGAGAACCAACCAGUCCGCCUUGGAGGAAGCAGAGCCAGUGUGCUCCUUGGAAGCAAGGAGGAGGAGACUUUGUCUCACAUACUUUGGACAUGUUAUCAGGAGGGACUGGAAAAGGACAUCCCGCUUGGUAAGGUAGAGGGUCAGCGAAAAAGAGGAAGGCCCUCCAUGAGAUGGAUUGACACGGUGGCUACACAAUACGCUCAAACAUAGCAAGGACCGUGGGAUGGCGCAAGACUGGACAGUGUUUGGAUCUGUUGUACAAGGGUUGUGAUGCUUUGCAACUGACUGGACAGCCCCUAAUAACAGCAGCGGCCUCUACGGAAGAUGGCUGCAACAUCUUUCCCCGAAGAGCAGCUGGUGGGCUCCAACCACGGACCUUUCAGUUAACCACUUUCCCACAAGAGCUCCCCUACAAAGAUGACAGCCAGGAAAGGUCUAUGGGGCAUGCCUACCCUGUAACUCAUGGGGUCUCCGUGGCACAAUACAAUAACCAGCUGCCAUCCAGUAGAUUCCGCCUCAUAGAGACCAAGAGGACAGAGUAGAAGUGCCCCAUAGGGCUUCCCAGGCUCUAAAUCCUUACGGAAACCCGCCGUCCUAUCUUUCUCCCGUGGACGGGCCUGGUGGAUUCCGAUCGCUGAACCACUGCCACCGCCGGGGCUCUUUGCAAAAUACUACUUUUUUUCCCCUCUUUUCUUUUUUUAUUGUGCUUUAAGUGAAAGUUUACAAACCAAGUCAGUCUCUCAUACAAAAAUUUGUACACCUUGUUAUAUAUUCCUAGUUGCUCUCCCCCUAAUGAGACAGCACACUCUUUCCCUCCAAUCUCUAUUUUCUGCUCCAUUCGGCCAGCUUCUGACCCACUCUGCCCUCUCAUCUCCCAUCCAGACAGGAGCUGCCCACAUUGCCUCGUGUGUCUGCUUGAUCCAAGAAGCUCACUCUUCACCAGUUUCAUUUUCUGUUCCAUAGUCCAGUCCAGUCCGUUUCUAAAGAUUUGGCUUUGGGAAUGGUUCCAAUCUGGGGCUAACAGAAGGUCUGGGGACCAUGACCUCCGGGGUCCUUCUAAUCUCAGUCGGACCGUUACGUCUGGUCAUUUUCGGGGAAUUUGAGGUCUGCAUCCCACUGCUCUCCUUCUCCCUCAGGGGUUCUCUGUUGUUCCCUGUCAGGACAGUCACCGUUUUUAGCCAGGCAUCAUCGAGUUCUUUUGGUCUCAGGCUGAUGGAGUCUCUGGUUUAUGUGGCCCUUUCUGUCUCUUGGGCUCACAAUUACCGUGUGUCUUUGGUGUUCUUCAUUCUCCUUGCUCCAUCCGGGUGGUUGAGACCAAUGGAUGCAUCUUAGCUGGCCACUUGCUAGCAUUUAAGACCCCGGAUGCCACUCUCCAAAGUGGGAUGCAGAAUGUUUUCUUAAUAGGUUUUAUUAUGCCAAUUGACGUUGAUGUCCCCUUAAACCAUGGUCCCGCGCUGUACUGUUGUUACAAAGUAACAAACAAAAAAAGGAGUUGCCUCCACUACUGUCCCAGACUCAUAGGGACCCUACAGGACAGAGUAGGAAUGGCCCACAUGGUUUGUCAAGGGGCAGCUGGUUGAUUCCAACUGCUGCCCUUCCAGCAGCAGCCAAGCACUUAACCACUGCGCCACCAGGGCUCCUGGCCUUAUACUACAGACGCCAUUUGGGGGUUUCGGUUUGUCUGUUUGCUCUAAGUAGCAACCAAAGUGUGUGGAAGUGGCCCACACUCACGGUAGCGGGCAUUCAACUCCCCCUGCGCACUCACUCCCCUUCCCGGAUCCCCUGGGCUCUUUCUACCGGCAGAUCAUUCCCGCUCCGAAUCCCCGCCUGCCUGUUCCUGGCCCCUUCUCCUCGCCCCACGUUCCUAUUCUGCCACUGCGCUCAGCCUCCGCAACUGUCAUUUACAAACGAAGGCUGCGGGCUCUAGCCACCUUGCAGGCUCCGGGGACGGAGAUUUCCGGAGACCAGGACGCAGAUUUUGCGCUUCUAAAGCGUUCCCAGGACUUGGGAAAUCUGUCAGGCCUGAAUCCACGCUCUGAGCGCAAGUUCCACCCAUCUCUCCGUGGCCCGAAGCGGCACGGUGGAAAUCGCCGCCGGCCCUCGCUCUGGAAACAGCCCCUCCUCGGUUGGGCCCCUUCCGGCCCCGCCCCUUAUCCCACACGCUUCCUAGAGGCUGCACUUUCAGAACCCCGGGCUUCUCCGACACCACCGCUUGACAGCGCGAGAGGUCGCUAACUCGCCUCUCUUCGCAAAGUGUUGUGAAUUUCAAUUCUAAAAGCGCCGAAAAACUAUAUUCAGUGUGCUUGAUCACUGUACAGUGUUUCCACAAAGUUGGACCUCUGGACGCUCCCCCAGCACUGCGGGAGGACCCUCCUUGCUUCUGGCCUCUGCGAUAUUAAAGGCCAUCUCACUUCCUGGUUGCCUGGAGGCCCAGAGGGUGGUGAGCCCCGGAUUGAAGGCGCCACUGGGCGGCGCGGGGCGCCGCUGGGGCUCUCCUGCCUGGCCAGCAUCACUUCCUGUUGAGGGGGAGGAGCAGAUCUAAGAAAGUCAGACUUGCUGUCUGCCUGACGCCCUUGCCUGGACUAAAGCCCACCGACACAGGCGUUACACUCUCCAAGGAUUGCGUUUAUACUAGACGAGGCCAUGGAAACACUAAGGGAUAUCGUGGCUCGCCUUCUCCUUGAGAUCCUCAGUGAAUUUCUUGCGGAGAAGAUAGAGAUCAAUAUAAGAGAGCAAGUAAGGGCAGAGUCAGAUGACCAGCGGAUGGGUUUCUUGGACCGCAUGGUUGCCCCUCUAAUGAAGAAGGUUUUUCAAUUGGUACUGGAGAAGACGGCUCCAGUUCUAUUCAACAGGUUUAUUGUGAAACUAUGGAAAUACGUCAUCACCUACGUUGUGAAAAAGAGGGUGCAUCCUGAACCAAUACAUGUGACGAUAGUUUAAUUACCACUAUCCACGGCGCAGUCGAAGCUUGGACUACUACAAGCAAUCCACGUGGCUUCAACGCUAAGUAAAAGCACCGCAAGAUGGCCUUUUUCUGGCGGAAGGGGAGAUUUCGGUGUUCGCUGACUACCUGGCUGGCCAGUGGUGAGGAUAUUUCUGUCCUCAGCUCUUGGCUCUGCUCGGCUCUGCUCGGCUCUGCUCUGCUCUACUCUACUCUACACUACACUACCCUACAGUACUCUAUUGUCCUCGCCUCUACAGUAGUCUAGUCUGUUGACAAAACCGUGAAUAGGAUGGAGAAGAGAGAUGCUAAGGGGGAUCGUGAGUGCAUUUUUCGAGGAUCACACGGGUGUCGCUCUAACGAAAAAGUUAAUGACAAGGUCCACAGAACCAGUUGAUGUCGUUCUGAGACCAGAUGUCUAUGUCGCUAAUGGAGAUGAUUCUUAUAUUAGUUCUGGGCAACCAGUUCCUCCUGGAACGUUUCAAAACAUCAUCACGUUUUUUUUUUUUGUGAAAAAGAUGAUGCGUAGAAGCCAACCGUUGGGAUUGUGUAUCGCACAGGCAUUUAACCGCCAGAUCGUCGAGAGAUGGUUCUAAAGUAACAUCGUAUAUUCUGGGAGACUGCUCCCAUCCUAUAUUAGCAGCUCGUCAUGUCACCUUCAACAAACAGCAUCACACAUCUCGUUAAGAAGAUGAUGUGCUCAGCCAGCUUGUGGGGUUGCAGUUUAAUUACGAGUUAUCGUUUGCGGACAUAUCUAAACGGGCAGAUCAACGAGAAAACUUUAAAAAACAGCAUCGAAUAUCUUUUUUAAGAGAUGAUGCUUCGGAGACUAACAGCAAUGAUUGACGCAGAAAUAUGAAGUAUAAACCGGCACGAUACGGUAGCCAUAUAUUGGUGGACGAGAUGCCCUGUCUUUGCUUCCUCAGCAGUUACUCCCCGCUCCUAUCAGCAACAGCUGGAGGGACAUUUCUGUUCUCAACCCUUUGCUAUGCUCAUUUUGCCAAAUCUAAAUGCCUGACGAAGAAUAGAGUUUUGAAAUGCAGCAAAUAAAUACACGGAUUUAUCUUUAGUACAUGACA